rnacentral:rRNA from 1 species
GUUUAUCCGGAAUUAUUGGGCGUAAAGCGCGCGUACGCGGUUUCUUAAGUCUGAUGUUUACAGCCCACGGCUCAACCGUGGAGGGUCAUUGGAAACUGGGGAACUUGAGUGCAGAAGAGGAGAGUGGAAUUCCAUGUGUAGCGGUGAAAUGCGCAGAGAUAUGGAGGAACACCAGUGGCGAAGGCGGCUCUCUGGUCUGUAACUGACGCUGAUGUGCGAAAGCGUGGGGAUCAAACAGGAUUAAAUACCCUGGUAGUCCACGCCGUAAAAGAUGAUUGCUAACUGUUAGGGGGUUUCCGCCCCUUAUG